ensembl:lncRNA LINC00174 long intergenic non-protein coding RNA 174
GCAAGUUUCCCAGUGCUGGAAUACAGAAAAUGGAUGGACAACUGGAUCUACCAUGAAAGACUUCAGAGUCCAGGAAGAGAGACUGACUGGGCAACAUGUUAUUCAGUUACAAAAAGACUUGGACUAUGACUCAAAAAUGAUCAAAUAAUAGUUCAUGCAUCAAAUGCAAUAGGAAGUACUUCUGGAGGGGUCUUGCUCUGUUGUCCAGGCUGGAGUGCGGUAGUGCUAUCACAGCUGACUGCAUCCUCAACCUCUCAGGCUCAAGCAGUCCUCCCACCUCAGCCUCCCAGGUGGCUGAGACUGUACGUGCUUGCCACAAUGCCCAACUAAUAAUUUGGACUUUUCCUAUACAUGGGUUCCAAAGGGCUGACUGCGAAACGAAGUGACCUCACAAUGACUCAAGCUACCACUUAGUGUUGAUUGUGAUGAAAUGCCAGCUGUGGCAUAUGCCUUGGGAGCUAAGUGGCUGCUGCACUUGACCACUAUGAAGACUGGUGUGGAAGGGUCCUUCUGGAUGUACUUGGGCAGGGUCCCCAACGCCAGAGCCAUGGAACUG